GUAACAAGGUCUCCGUAGGUGAACCUGCGGAGGGAUCAUUACACAAUAAAAUACGAAGGCCGUUCGCGGCUGGACUAUUUAUUACCCUUGUCUUUUGCGCACUUGUUGUUUCCUGGGCGGGUUCGCUCGCCACCAGGACCACAAUAUAAACCUUUUUUAUGCAGUUGCAAUCAGCGUCAGUAUAACAAAUGUAAAUCAUUUACAACUUUCAACAACGGAUCUCUUGGUUCUGGCAUCGAUGAAGAACGCAGCGAAAUGCGAUACGUAGUGUGAAUUGCAGAAUUCAGUGAAUCAUCGAAUCUUUGAACGCACAUUGCGCCCUUUGGUAUUCCAAAGGGCAUGCCUGUUCGAGCGUCAUUUGUACCCUCAAGCUUUGCUUGGUGUUGGGCGUUUUUGUCUUUGGCCCGCCAAAGACUCGCCUUAAAAUGAUUGGCAGCCGGCCUACUGGUUUCGCAGCGCAGCACAUUUUUGCGCUUGCAAUCAGCAAAAGAGGACGGCAAUCCAUCAAGACUCCUUCUCACGUUUGACCUCGGAU
rnacentral:rRNA from 1 species